rnacentral:rRNA from 1 species
UACGGAGGGUGCAAGCGUUGUCCGGAUUUAUUGGGUUUAAAGGGUGCGUAGGCGGUCUUUUAAGUCCGUUGUGAAAACUCGAGGCUCAACCUCGAGACGCCGGUGGAAACUGCAAAGCUAGAGUCCGGAAGAGGAGAGUGGAAUUCCUGGUGUAGCGGUGAAAUGCGCAGAUAUCAGGAAGAACACCCGUGGCGAAGGCGGCUCUCUGGGACGGUACUGACGCUGAGACGCGAAAGCGUGGGGAGCGAACAGG